GACGAACGCUGGCGGCGUGCUUAACACAUGCAAGUCGAACGGAAAGGCCCUGCUUGCAGGGUACUCGAGUGGCGAACGGGAGAGUAACACGUGGGUGAUCUGCCCUGCACUUCGGGAUAAGCCUGGGAAACUGGGUCUAAUACCGGAUAGGAGCCAUUUUUAGUGUGAUGGUUGGAAAGUUUUUUCGGUGUAGGAUGAGCUCGCGGCCUAUCAGCUUGUUGGUGGGGUAAUGGCCUACCAAGGCGGCGACGGGUAGCCGGCCUGAGAGGGUGGACGGCCACAUUGGGACUGAGAUACGGCCCAGACUCCUACGGGAGGCAGCAGUGGGGAAUAUUGCACAAUGGGCGCAAGCCUGAUGCAGCGACGCCGCGUGGGGGAUGACGGCCUUCGGGUUGUAAACUCCUUUCGCUAGGGACGAAGCUUUUUGUGACGGUACCUAGAUAAGAAGCACCGGCUAACUACGUG
rnacentral:rRNA from 1 species